AGCUCCAAUAGCGUAUAUUAAAGUUGUUGCAGUUAAAAAGCUCGUAGUUGGAUUUGUGGUAUAUGUCGGGCUCCCAUCCUAUUGGAUUGGUGUAGCUUGGCAUAGCCAUCCUUGGGCAGAACCUGUGUGGCAUUAGGUUGUCGUGCAGGGUAUGCUUAUCGUUUACUGUGAAAAAAUUAGAGUGUUCAAAGCAGGCUUAUGCCGUUGAAUAUAUUAGCAUGGAAUAAUAAGAUAGGAUCUUGGUACUAUUUUGUUGGUUUGCGCACCGAGGUAAUGGUUAAGAGGGACAGUUGGGGGUAUUCGUAUUCCAUUGUCAGAGGUGAAAUUCUUGGAUUUUUGGAAGACGAACUACUGCGAAAGCAUUUACCAAGGAUGUUUUCAUUAAUCAAGAACGAAAGUA
rnacentral:rRNA from 1 species